GCACCCUAUUGAGUGCACUAUUUUUGACUAGAGCCCUACCUGCUGCCCCUGAUGGUAUGUAUGUAGUUAUUCACCAGCUAUAGAGUGAGUUGUUGUUUAUGUUUCUAAGACUGCAGGGUGGGAGAUGCAACAAUGGCCUUGAGAACAGCAGGAAGUGUGUUGGGGGUCUUUCUCUGGUCUGUAGCAGUGGUACUGGGUCAGGGUGUCUGGAGUGUGACCUACACCAAGAAUAGUAUCUGUGCCUUGAAGGGGUCAACAGUGGAUCUGUCCUGCUCUUACACAUAUCCCAGAGGUCAUAAAGUUACAACAACCACAUGGUAUAACUGGAAGAUGGGUGUCUGGUAUACUUAUGAUAUCCAAGAUAUGAAUGAGGGCCGUAUGGAGUACCGGGGGAAUAAGGAGAAUGACUGCACCCUGACAAUCACAGACCUGAAAUGGAGUGAUACUGCAGCAUAUUAUUUCAUGUUUUCAACAAAAUCCUCCUCUUGGAUUCCUCGCAAUGACUAUGUCACUCUCAUUGUCACAGAACUGCAGGUGGAGGUAACAGACACAAGUAAUAGGAAGACACUGUCCUGUAGCACCACCUGUACUCUGAGUAACCCCAACACCAUCUAUAUCUGGUACAAGAACGGACAACAUCUAGAUGAGAGCACCUCCCCCAGUACAA